CUUCACGGGCCGGGGGUGGGCCGGGCGGUCAGGGCCAGUUUCUCUCACCUCAUCUUCGCAAGGGCCUCCUGCACGCACCUUCGUGGCCUGCCGCUUCUCUGUUUCUUUAGCUGCUUGCUGGAGGGCUCCUCACCAGGAGCGCUGCCAGGGUAGGGUGCUUGUCUGGGUCUAGGUGAACCCCGGCACCCGCUCCUGGAGGACUCACGGGCCCAGGGAGUGGAGGGGCUCCAGCACUCUCGCCCCCCACCACCCGGACAUCCUGAAGAUACUGCGCAUUGGGUGUUCCGGAAUCUGAACCCAUAUUCUACCCAAAUCUGGAUUGCUUGCCCCAGGGAAGGUGAAGACACAGAGGAGCAGAGGGAGGCAGGACCACCCUCGCAUGCACCCCCAGUACUUCCUUCUCCCGCUUGGAAAACAGGCAUUAAGAACACAGGAGAGGCUGAGCCCGGACACAGCAACGUGGCCCACGCUGGGGCUGAACUGGAGGCUCGAGCUGAUGACUCAGAGGGCAUCUGAUGGGAUCUGAGAAUCUGCAUUUCUGAUGAGUUCCCAGAGGUAGUCUGCACCCGCGGUCCAGGGACUGCUGGAGGUACUGCUGACCCACUCCAGCCCUCAUUUUGUGGGAAGAAGAACAGGCCUGGAGCACAGACAGACCCGUCCACAUCACGGUGUAUGUGUAGAAGGCGUUGGCACCCGCCUCCAGGCUGACCGCCCCGAGCCUCCACCCCAUUGCAGUCACCGGCCGCCCCUGGAUGGAUGCCCAGGACCACUGUCCGCAGAAGAAAGCCUACGGGGCCAGUGUGGCACUGGGCAGCAGCACAGACUACCUGCUGGUCUGGAGGCCGCCCUCCAGGCGUCCCCGUGGCUGUGCAGCCUGUCUCCUGGCUGGCUGCCUGUCACUGGUGAGCUGCCAGCUGGCUCCCCCAGUGACCCACUGCACACUGGCACCAGCCCAGAGGGGCAACGGCCAGCUGGGGCCGCUGCUCUGGGCCUGGGCAGUGUGGCUGGUGGAGAAGCACCCUGAUGCUAACCAGUCAACAGGGGACCCUGAGUUUCUGGGGCCUCAAGGUUGCACUGUCUCUGGAGUCCUGGGCAGUUCUCGGCAGGGUAGGUGCCCACCAUGCCCCCGACUGCAUUCCUGCACCUGGCAGCCCAUUUUAGCAGCCUCCUCGCCCAGGGAAGCCCCUCUCCUUGUCUAAGAUGCCCGUGCUGUCUCCCAGAGCUGUGUGCCAGAAGCUGUCAUGAUGCAGACCCAGCUGACACCCCCAUUCCAGCGUACACGGGCACAUUGCAGAGUGGGGUUCGGUGGGGUUUGGUUCCAAACUGCAGUAGAGCAAAUGUUGCAGCAGUGAGUCACAGAGUUUUUGGCUUCCCGGUCAGUGCAUAUAAAAGUUCUAUUUAAAUUAUCCUGUAAUCUGGGCCUCCCCAGUGGCACAGCGGUUGAGCGCUGGGCUGCGAAGCUGUCCGCAGCCUCUGCAGCGCCGGUUCAAUCCCCGGCCACUGGGGAGGGUCCCACAUGGCGUGCAGACCUCUCCUGCCUCACCCGCUACUCCCCUCAGCAGUGUAUUUCAUCAGUCUGCCUGUUCUGCUCCCCGCUCUGGCUCUGGUGAAUUCUCUCACUCUCCCGUGCUUCUGAACUGUACCCCAGUUCUUGUAUAA